UACGUAGGGGGCAAGCGUUGUCCGGAAUCAUUGGGCGUAAAGAGCGUGUAGGCGGCCCGGUAAGUCCGCUGUGAAAGUCGGGGGCUCAACCCUCGAAAGCCGGUGGAUACUGUCGGGCUAGAGUGCGGAAGAGGCGAGUGGAAUUCCUGGUGUAGCGGUGAAAUGCGCAGAUAUCAGGAGGAACACCGAUUGCGAAGGCAGCUCGCUGGGACGUAACUGACGCUGAGACGCGAAAGCGUGGGGAGCAAACAGG
rnacentral:rRNA from 1 species